AAGACUAUACUUUCAGGGGUCAUUUCUGUAGUUGGUCACUAGAGGAGAGUGAUCGCACCUGUACGGCGUCACAAACCACGAGGAGGAUGGUGUUGCUCUCUCCUGAGCGCGAAGCGGGCGGGCGGUGCUGCUUGGGCAGGAGCCGCUCGCCAUUGAUGACCGUUCCCGGUCCUUUUGGUCCGGGAGGGAGAGAGCACAGGCUGAGUGGU
ensembl:snoRNA U3 Small nucleolar RNA U3